rnacentral:rRNA from 1 species
GGAUAACACCUGGAAACAGAUGCUAAUACCGUAUAACAGAGAAAACCGCAUGGUUUUCUUUUAAAAGAUGGCUCUGCUAUCACUUCUGGAUGGACCCGCGGCGUAUUAGCUAGUUGGUGAGGUAAAGGCUCACCAAGGCAGUGAUACGUAGCCGACCUGAGAGGGUAAUCGGCCACAUUGGGACUGAGACACGGCCCAGACUCCUACGGGAGGCAGCAGUAGGGAAUCUUCCACAAUGGACGCAAGUCUGAUGGAGCAACGCCGCGUGAGUGAAGAAGGGUUUCGGCUCGUAAAGCUCUGUUGUUAAAGAAGAACGUGGGUAAGAGUAACUGUUUACCCAGUGACGGUAUUUAACCAGAAAGCCACGGCUAACUACGUGCCAGCAGCCGCGGUAAUACGUAGGUGGCAAGCGUUAUCCGGAUUUAUUGGGCGUAAAGCGAGCGCAGGCGGUCUUUUAAGUCUAAU